UACGAAGGGGGCUAGCGUUGCUCGGAAUCACUGGGCGUAAAGGGUGCGUAGGCGGGUCUUUAAGUCAGGGGUGAAAUCCUGGAGCUCAACUCCAGAACUGCCUUUGAUACUGAAGAUCUUGAGUCCGGGAGAGGUGAGUGGAACUGCGAGUGUAGAGGUGAAAUUCGUAGAUAUUCGCAAGAACACCAGUGGCGAAGGCGGCUCACUGGCCCGGUACUGACGCUGGGGCACGAAAGCGUGGGGAGCCAA
rnacentral:rRNA from 1 species